rnacentral:rRNA from 1 species
UACGGAAGGCAGCAGUGGGGAAUAUUGCACAAUGGGCGCAAGCCUGAUGCAGCCAUGCCGCGUGUAUGAAGAAGGCCUUCGGGUUGUAAAGUACUUUCAGUCGUGAGGAAGGUGUUAAGGUUAAUAACCUUAGCAAUUGACGUUAGCGACAGAAGAAGCACCGGCUAACUCCGUGCCAGCAGCCGCGGUAAUACGGAGGGUGCGAGCGUUAAUCGGAAUUACUGGGCGUAAAGGGCACGCAGGCGGUUAAUUAAGUUGGAUGUGAAAUCCCCGGGCUUAACCUGGGAAUGGCAUUCAAGACUGGUUAGCUAGAGUCUUGUAGAGGGGGUAGAGUUCCAUGUGUAGCGGUGAAAUGCGUAGAGAUGUGGAGGAAUACCGGUGGCGAAGGCGGCCCCUGGACAAAGACUGACGCUCAUGUGCGAAAGCGUGGGGAGCAAACAGGGAUUAGAUACC